rnacentral:rRNA from 1 species
AACGUAGGGGGCGAGCGUUGCCCGGAUUCACUGGGCGUAAAGCGCGUGUAGGCGGUCCGUUAAGUCGGAUGUGAAAUCUCUGGGCUCAACCCAGAAAUCGCAUCCGAUACUGGCGGACUUGAGGAUGGUAGAGGUUGGUGGAAUUCCCGGUGUACCGGUGAAAUGGACAGAUAUCGGGAGGAACACCAGUGGCGAAGGCGGCCAACUGGGCCAUCCCUGACGCUGAGACGCGAAAGCCAGGGGAGCGAACCGG